rnacentral:rRNA from 1 species
UAGGGAAUCUUCCACAAUGGGCGAAAGCCUGAUGGAGCAACGCCGCGUGUGUGACGAAGGGCUUCGGCUCGUAAAACACUGUUGUAAGAGAAGAAUGACAUUGAGAGUAACUGUUCAAUGUGUGACGGUAUCUUACCAGAAAGGAACGGCUAAAUACGUGCCAG